GUGUCUCCGGCGAGAUGCUGACGGGGUUCUGUUGUUUAUUAACCCUGCCAAAUUAAGCUUGAGGCUACAGCUCCCCAGCGAGCGCUGCGCAGCCUAAGGAGGAGCGCUGCUGGGUGGCGAUCCGGACGAGCAUCUUCCACAUCCUGAAAGCACUCAUUAAACAAUUAACAUCAUUUUAGCCAGGUAUCCUUAUGUGCUUCAUAAAAGGAUGGAGAUGUAUUCCUAUUUGCUUUAACACACUAGCUGUACUAUUUCCUACCAAUGAAUCUGUUAGAGAGUACCAUGGCCUCUCAUAACUAUGCAGGUCUCCUGCCCUAACAUGGGCUAGUCCCAGGGAGAUGGAGCACGAUGGAUCCCACAUCUGCCUGGGAGGACCCUCAGCUUACAGAUCUGUGAAACCGCAGCUGGAAGUGCUGAGACCACAGAGGAUCUUUGUGCUUUAUAUCUUCCUUGCAGUCCUUCUGUUAGAUCUCAAGUCAACAAGUCUCACAUCAAAGCCAAACUGAACUUCCGAGUUAGACUGUGUGAAACACUACAUCAAAAGCUGUUCCCAAACGCAUGUACUCUGCCUCCUGCACCCCUGUCACUCCCGUGCUCUUCACUCACCCACUGCAGUCACGUCACUCAUCGGCACAGUGGAGUCUAUUCACAUUCAGGAGUACCCACACAAGUACCGUCACAGGCUAUACCGUAUUUCUCUCAGACGGAGUUCCCUCAUGCAGCUGACAUCUUUCUGCCAAUUGUUUAGGAGCCUGGAAUUUUAAACCCAUUCAAUAACAUGCUGAAGCUGUGGUUCCCCAGUUCACUGCAGCCAGAAGAGGAAGCAGUCUCCUCUUCCUCACCUUCCCUCCUGAUGCCUGGCCUGGACUCUCAGCUGGACUUAACAGGAACAGUUGGAUCAAGGACAAGUGUUUUUGGAAACCCCUUCAGAGUGUUCAUACACUGCCGUAUUUCAUCCGCUGUCAACCAGAAAGCAGCCCUGGAAGGCAGAGCUGCUGCACAAAAGCAACCAAGACCUUCAGGUGCUCUUAACAUCCUGCUUGUUUCUUCCUAAUUGUCCAUCAUCUCCUUUGUCCAUCUGUCCAUCAUCAGAUCAUCCCAGUUUCUGAAAAGCGAUAGCUUAAUCCACUCUUCCACUACCCAGACUGUGUUCAAGUGAUAUCCCAGUGCUUGUACUUCAUGUUUUCAAAGUACCCCUGGUCUACACUUUCCCAACAGCCAUUUUUAUAUCAAGAACUUCCUGAUUCUUCUAAUCUUCUCUGUGAUUUUAUGGUUAAAAACAUCAUCAACAAUAGGGCAUUUUAGAUUCCUCACUCAUUAUUAAGUUCAUACAUUUCUCAUACAGCUUUUUUCCUGAGAUAUUUUUAGAGUACAUUUUAUUCAUCACUAAUUCUUUGCACUGGUCCUACUCUGUCCCCUUAUAAAAGAAGAGGAGCUUGCUCUGUCACUCGCCUGCCCAUCUGUGAUAUCUCCUCUUCAUUUGAAGAUGUUCUUGUCCCUCUUUGCCUGGACUUCUUUCUUUCAAAAGAUGAAAGCCUAAACUUGGGCAAACACAGCAUGGAAUUUCUGUUCUUGGUGCAUGGAGACAGCGCCCAGCCAGUGCCGUGCUUAAGUGUUCCAUGACUGUCCCGAGCACAUCAAAUAUAAUUUGGGCAUUUUACUACUAUCUGAUCACUAGAGUUGCACACAACCACCUGUUUUGCACACACAUGAGUUUAUCUUUCUAUACUCUUUUUAACCAGUUGUUGUUUAUAGAGGUCUUUUGAUAGCAGCUUGCUUAUGAGCUUGCAUUCCCACAUCUGAGAGCACAUUGUGUUCCUGAAGCAACAUCAGGGACCAUUUGUUGAAGCUUCUGAGAAAAGUUCUGGCUGAUGCAAAAGAGUGUUAGUAGAUCUGUGGCAAUAUUUCCCUAUCUAAUAAGGAAACAAACCCAAGGGAAAUCUAGGCUCAAAGGAGAGGCCCACUUGGAGGGAAGCAUUAGGACAGAUGUCACCCACAGGAGGGUUGAAAACAGGGAGGAGUGUGGAAGGAAUUAUAAACCAAUGGCAACUUCAGCUUUAUGAGACAAACACCAUGUUUGUUGUAAGACAAAGGGAUAGUGCCUAAUGUCAUCUGUAAACUGCAUAGAGAACCCAGAUUGUGACUCUUCUGCUUAAGCAUUACAACAGGGAUUUCUGAGCCUGAAGCUGUGUGCUGUGUUCAGUCAGAGGCCUCAGAGCCAGCUGCUGCUGCCCUCCCUGCCUGUACCAGCUCUGCAGCCUUGGCAGAUGUGUUACUGAGCUGAUUCACCCACUAGGCCAGCAGAACGCUACUCCUUUUUCUUUGCCAGGGUGAGCUUCCUGCUGAUUCAGUGGGUUACACCAGUUCAAUCAGCAGGUCUAACGUGAGAGGAGGAAAACAGGAACAAGAUUCUUCCCUUUCUGUCGAAGCAAGCCGUUAAAGUGACUCAAGCUGUAACAGGUGUAAGUGCCUCUGCAAAGCCUGUGGCAGCAGAGAAGCAAGUCCCAGAGGAUUUUACUCACAGGACGAAGAGGAAUUAUUUUUCUGAGAACUGGUUCAUUGUGUUGCAUUACAUACUGAAACAAUGG